AGUCAGAACCAACAACCAAACUUCUCCAAAGAUUUAAACAUUAAAAACACCAAAACUUGCAUUACAACUCCCAAAUUUCAGCACCUAAGCUUAAUCCACCAAUUCCAAUAUCAACCUUACCUUCCAAACUCAAAUUCAGGUGAAGAAAGGUCUCAAAUCCAGUGAACUAUGAUGGAGUAUCACCCUCUGGUCCAAAAUCCAACUACCUCCAAAGAUUGCAUCAAGAAAACCCAAAAACUCUCAAUUUCAGCGCAAACAUCACAGCAGCUCAGAAAAAU
rnacentral:lncRNA from 1 species